rnacentral:rRNA from 1 species
GACGAACGCUGGCGGCGUGCUUAACACAUGCAAGUCGAACGGAAAGGCCCUGCUUUUGUGGGGUGCUCGAGUGGCGAACGGGUGAGUAACACGUGAGUAACCUGCCCUUGACUUUGGGAUAACUUCAGGAAACUGGGGCUAAUACCGGAUAGGAGCUCCUGCUGCAUGGUGGGUGUUGGAAAGUUUCGGCGGUUGGGGAUGGACUCGCGGCUUAUCAGCUUGUUGGUGGGGUAGUGGCUUACCAAGGCUUUGACGGGUAGCCGGCCUGAGAGGGUGACCGGCCACAUUGGGACUGGGAUACGGCCCAGACUCCUACGGGAGGCAGCAGUGGGGAAUAUUGCACAAUGGGCGGAAGCCUGAUGCAGCAACGCCGCGUGCGGGAUGACGGCCUUCGGGUUGUAAACCGCUUUCGCCUGUGACGAAGCGUGAGUGACGGUAAUGGGUAAAGAAGCACCGGCUAACUACGUG